CCAUCAUCAUCACCUUCAUUCAACAUGCUGUCCCUGCAGAACUCAGCUUUUUCUCUGAUGUUGUUUUCAAUCUUAUCCGGCGUCAGCUGUGAAGAUCUGACUCCAGUCAAAACAGACGAGUUCAGUUCAGAAGGCAGCACUGUUACUCUGUCCUACAAAGCUGGAUCUGAUGCUAAUUAUUACUUCUGGUAUCGACAAUAUCCUGGAAAACCACCAGAGUUCCUCAUCUCACACUCUGCUUCAGGCCAAGUAGGAACUAACCCAAUCCCUGGACUGAAUAUUACAGUGACGAAAAAGCAAAUGGAGUCAAACCGAAUCAAUAUGAUCAUCUCCUCUGCUGCAGUGACAGACUCUGCUGUGUACUACUGUGCUCUGCAGCCCACAGUG